rnacentral:rRNA from 1 species
GACGAACGCUGGCGGCGUGCUUAACACAUGCAAGUCGAACGGAAAGGCCCUGCUUUUGUGGGGUGCUCGAGUGGCGAACGGGUGAGUAACACGUGAGUAACCUGCCCUUGACUUUGGGAUAACUUCAGGAAACUGGGGCUAAUACCGGAUAGGAGCUCCUGCUGCAUGGUGGGGGUUGGAAAGUUUCGGCGGUUGGGGAUGGACUCGCGGCUUAUCAGCUUGUUGGUGGGGUAGUGGCUUACCAAGGCUUUGACGGGUAGCCGGCCUGAGAGGGUGACCGGCCACAUUGGGACUGAGAUACGGCCCAGACUCCUACGGGAGGAAGCAGGGGGGAAUAUUGCACAAGGGGCGGAAGCCGGAUGCAGCAACGCCGCGUGCGGGAUGACGGCCUUCGGGUUGUAAACCGCUUUCGCCUGUGACGAAGCGUGGGUGACGGUAAUGGGUAAAGAAGCACCGGCUAACUACGU